UACAGAGGGUGCGAGCGUUGUUCGGAAUUACUGGGCGUAAAGCGCGCGCAGGCGGCUUCCUAAGUCUGUUGGUGAAAGACCGGGGCUCAACCCCGUGUCAGCCAUGGAUACUGGGAGGCUGGAGACAGGUAGAGGCAAGCGGAAUUCCGGGUGUAGCGGUGGAAUGCGUAGAGAUCCGGAAGAACACCGGAGGCGAAGGCGGCUUGCUGGACCUGGUCUGACGCUGAGGCGCGAAAGCGUGGGGAGCGAACAGG
rnacentral:rRNA from 1 species